UUAUGGAGACAUUGGGGGCGGAGGGAGUACUGUACCGGACAUGACUUCUGGGUAUACCAUGUGGCCUGUGAUUUUUUCCCCCAUACCUGUUA
rnacentral:sRNA from 1 species